rnacentral:rRNA from 1 species
GGCGGUUAUCGAUUGAUCUAUGCCAUGCGAGUCAUUGUAGUAAUACAAGGCAGACGGCUCAGUAACGCGUCCUCUUAAAACCUAUGGACGGGAAUAACCUCGGGAAACUGAGCCUUUUGCCCGAUAGAACAUUAUGCCUGGAAUGGUUUGUGUUCCAAAUGAUUCAUCGCCGUAGGAUGGGACUGCCCCCUAUCAGCUUGUUGGUGAGGUAAUGGCCCACCAAGACUAUUACAGAUACGGGCUCUGAGAGGAGAGGCCCGGAGAUGGGUACUGAGACACGGACCCAGGUCCUAUGGGGCGCAGCAGGCGAGAUAACUUUGCAAUGUGCGAAAGCACGACAAGGUUAAUCCGAGUGUUUUCUGCGUAAGAAUCUUUUUGUCGUCUUAAAACCACCGAGAAUAAGGGGUGUUUUUUUUUUGGUGACACCCGCCGCGGUAAAACCCGCCCCUCAAGUGGUCCGAAUUAUUAUUGGGCCAAAGCAUCCGGAGCCGGCGUGUUAUUUUUCGGUUUAACCUGGCCCUCCACGCAAAGGGUGGCGGGAUACUGGGCAGGUAUGGAGGGGGAAAAGUUGACGGUACUCGGUUGGAAGGGGAAAAAUCCUUUUAUUUUAUGAAGAACCCCUGUGGGGAAAGCGGCCCAAACGAACCCUCCCGAAGAUGAGGGAAGAAAGGUGGGGGAAUAAACCGGAUUAUAACCCGGGGAGCCCCGCUGGAAACAUUGUCAAACCCGUGGGGGCUUGGUUUGGGCCAAUGUCAUGUUUCAAGGAAACCCUCAAGUUUGCCCCUGGGAAG